UGGCUUUAAUACUUGCUCAAAGUGGUUAUAUCAUGGUGGGAAAUAUUGUUUUAUGGGCCAUCAUUGAUUUUUAGCUUUUGAUCAUCAAUUUAGAUGUGAUAGACAUAAUUUUGAUGGCAAUCAAGAAUGGAGAGUAGCUCCAAAUCUACCAACUGGUUCUGUUAUUUUGGGGCAACUGGAUGGUGAAAUAAUUCCCAUAGAUGCAGAUGGUGAAAUUGCUAUAGUGAAUCAA
rnacentral:lncRNA from 1 species